UUAAAUGAACAGGUUAGCACAGCAUCUGCAACUGUGAGAAAUAUCUUGUCUUCACCAAUUUGACUUGGAAAAUUGGAUGCAUGUAGCUUGUCAAUCACCACUCUCCCGGGGUUCGACAGAACAAGCUGUGCAAGAAAAGAAAAAGAAGGUAAGAUUUCGAGGCACGUAUGACUAUAUGAGAUGUAGUACAGAGACGAAUCAGAAUUUAAACUUGAUGUACUGUGGGAUCAAAAUUUAGUAUUUGCUGAAAUUUAAGUAAUUUUUCACAAAUGUAUUUUAUGUUCUGCGUAGAAAAAAUUGGGUUUGGUUGAACCUAGUGAACCAGGUUCCAUCAGUCUUUUUAAGUAUGUAGUUUGUAUUAUGGAGUUGAUUAAGAUGAUUACCUGAACAUUUCUCUUCUGUAGGCUUCUGUGCAACUCUUCCAAGGCAUGGAUGCCACUGGUGUCAAUGUCAAUAACAGCUGCAAGGAGAAAGAGCAGAAAAACAUGAGGGGUGGAUCGAUCAGUGUGUCAUCUCAGAAUAGAAUAUAUAGCAUGCUUUUAAUUUCAGCGACAGAGGUAAUCUCUACUUACGUGACAUCUCAACGAUCAAAAAUUGAAUUUUAGGAAGGCUAGCUGCUUUUAGUUGUUCUUCCUCAUCCAUUAGCCAUCUCAAUAUCCUGAAAACACAGGUUAAUUAGUUUGUUAAGUUCCUUUUUCGUAGUAUCAUAAUAUCAGUUUGAAAUUUAGCUUUAGAAGUAGUGUGCAUAAAGAUACAAAAGAAGAGGGAAAAGGGGAAGAACUGUACUACCUUUCCUUUAUAUAGUUAGAGUUUGAAAAGUAUAUAGCAGAAUCCACUCUAACUAUCAAUACACCAGGAACUUUGGUUGCCUCGGGAUAUUGUUGAAUGUUCCUAUAUACAUUCGUCCGGGGUAUCCUACCAAGAGUAGCUGUUCGCGGCCUUGUGACUUGGAGGAGAAUCUUAGCAAAUGAUAUUGUGACCUUUUGUAAAUGAAAGAAACUAUCAGAUCUGAUUAUUGAAUGAUAAAUUUCGUUGAUAAGGUUGUUAAUUUUCUGUAUGCCCUUACCGCGAUCAAAAG
rnacentral:lncRNA from 1 species